rnacentral:rRNA from 1 species
UACAGAGGGCGCGAGCGUUGUCCGGAAUCACUGGGCGUAAAGGGCGCGUAGGUGGCCACCAUAAGGCCGCGGUGAAAGCUUGGGGCUCAACCCCAGGUCGGCCGCGGCGACUGUGGGGUUGGGGCACCGUAGAGGCAGAUGGAAUUCCGGGUGUAGCGGUGGAAUGCGUAGAGAUCCGGAAGAACACCAGUGGCGAAGGCGGUCUGCUGGUCGGUGGGACUGGAAAGUCCCUUUGGCCGACACUGAGGCGCGACAGCGUGGGGAGCAAACAGG